CCUACCUACUAACCAGCUCUCCCCACACUGAUGAAUUUAUGUGGGGACCCUUUCCUCCAGUCUCCCAUGUGUCACUGGGAAUACCAUUUGGCAACCUCUAUUUCAAAGGUGUUAUAAUAAUUCAACAUGAAUGUGUGCUAUAAUGCCACCCCACCUCAGAGAUGUAAGAGUGAAAAUCAUGUCUGACCUUUCUGGGAAGAACUCUGCCUUUUACUACCAUCUGGAGUUAUACAACAUCACUAUACAAAGCUCAGAAGAGAGGGGUGCAGAUGUGCAGGCCUUAGAAGUUGAGGAUCUUUUCUUCUAAUUAAGGCACUUGUUUUUCCUA